rnacentral:rRNA from 1 species
AUAGUUUGAUCCUGGCUCACAUUGAACGCUGGCGGCAUGCCUAACACAUGCAAGUCGAACGGAAACGAUGGGAGCUUGCUCCCAGGCGUCGAGUGGCGGACGGGUGAGUAAUACUUAGGAAUCUGCCCAUUAGUGGGGGACAACUCGGGGAAACUCGAGCUAAUACCGCAUACGCCCUACGGGGGAAAGCGGAGGACCUUUCGGGGCUUCCCGCUAAUGGAUGAGCCUAAGUCGGAUUAGCUAGUUGGUAGGGUAAAGGCCUACCAAGGCGACGAUCCGUAGCUGGUCUGAGAGGACGAUCAGCCACACUGGGACUGAGACACGGCCCACACUCCUACGGGAGGCAGCAGUGGGGAAUAUUGAACAAUGGGCGCAAGCCUGAUUCAGCAAUGCCGCGUGUGUGAAGAAGGCCUGCGGGUUGUAAAGCACUUUCAGUAGACAAGAAAAGUUUAGGGUUAAUACCCCUGGAUCUUGACCUUACCUAUAGAAGAAGCUCCGGCUAACUCCGUGCCAGCAGGCGCGGUAAUACCGCAGGGAGCGAGCGUUCAUCGGAAUUACUGGGCGUAAAGCGCGCGUAUGCGGCUUUGCAAGUCGGAUGUGAAAAGCCCUGGCCUCAACCUGGGUAUUGCAUUCCAUACUGCAAAACUGAAAUUUGGUAGAGGGAAGUGGGAAUUUCCGGGGCAACGGUGAAAUGCUUAU